UACGUAGGUGGCAAGCGUUGUCCGGAGUUAUUGGGCGUAAAGCGCGCGCAGGCGGUGCGGUAAGUCUCUGGUGAAAGCGCUCGGCUUAACUGGGCGAGGGCCGGGGAGACUGCCACGCUGGAGGGGAGCAGAGGCGAGUGGAAUUCCGGGUGUAGUGGUGAAAUGCGUAGAGAUCCGGAGGAACACCAGUGGCGAAGGCGGCUCGCUGGGCUCUACCUGACGCUGAGGCGCGAAAGCGUGGGUAGCAAACAGG
rnacentral:rRNA from 1 species